UACGUAGGCAGCAAGCGUUGUUCGGAGUUACUGGGCGUAAAGGGUGCGUAGGCGGCUUUUUAAGUUUGGUGUGAAAUCUCCCGGCUCAACCGGGAGGGUGCGCCGAAUACUGAGGAGCUAGAGUGCGGGAGAGGAAAGUGGGAAUUCCUGGUGUAGCGGUGAAAUGCGUAGAUAUCAGGAGGAACACCGGUGGUGUAGACGGCUUUCUGGACCGUAACUGACGCUGAGACACGAAAGCGUGGGUAGCAAACAGG
rnacentral:rRNA from 1 species